AGAGUUUGAUCAUGGCUCAGAACGAACGCUGGCGGCGUGCUUAACACAUGCAAGUCGAACGAGAAAGUCCUUCGGGAUGAGUAGAGUGGCAGACGGGUGAGUAAUGAAUAGGAACAUACCUUUUGGUGGGGGAUAACCACGGGAAACUGUGGCUAAUACCGCAUGAGAUCUAAGGAUGAAAGGGGGCGCCUGGCAACGGGGCUCUCGCCGAUAGAGUGGCCUAUUUCCCAUUAGCUAGUUGGUAAGGUAAAGGCUUACCAAGGCAACGAUGGGUAGCUGGUCUGAGAGGACGAUCAGCCACACUGGAACUGAGAUACGGUCCAGACUCCUACGGGAGGCAGCAGUGGGGAAUCUUGCACAAUGGACGAAAGUCUGAUGCAGCAACGCCGCGUGAGUGAAGAAGGCCUUUGGGUUGUAAAGCUCUUUAGGUCGGGAAGAAGGGGCACUUUACUAAUAAUGGAGUGUUUUGACGGUACCGGCAGAAUAAGCACCGGCUAAUCUCGUGCCAGCAGCCGCGGUAAUACGAGAGGUGCAAGCGUUGUUCGGAGUGAUUGGGCGUAAAGCGCACGUAGGCGGGCAUGUAAGUCAGAUGUGAAAUCCCUGGACUUAACCUGGGAACCGCAUUUGAUACUGCAAGUCUUGAAUAUCUCAGAGGUUGGUGGAAUUCUUGGUGUAGGAGUGAAAUCCGUAGAUAUCAAGAGGAACAUCGGAGGCGAAGGCGGCCAACUGGGAGAAUAUUGACGCUGAGGUGCGAAAGCGUGGGGAGCAAACAGGAUUAGAUACCCUAGUAGUCC
rnacentral:rRNA from 1 species